rnacentral:tRNA from 1 species
GGAGGUGUGGCCGAGCGGUUGAAGGCGAUAGUCUUGAAAACUAUUAAUACGCGAGUAUUCAAGGGUUCGAAUCCCUUUGCCUCCUCCA